AAUUAAGUUCGCCCAGUAGAAAAUUAAGCAAGUAAGACUGAAGUCAGACGCAUUCCCUUCGCCAUAUUGCUCUAAUUUACUAUCAUAAAUAGUACGGUUCUCUAAUAUCAUUCAGAAUUUUGUACGAUUUUUUUAAAAUUAAAACCAUUAAUGCUAGUCUCUUAUACUACGGGGAAUGAGUGUCCCAUUGCUGUAGGCGGGAAGAUGAGAAGGUAGUAUAUGUACAGUUGAUUAAUUUAUAUCUGUACGAAACGAUGAUUGUAAGAAAAACGACUCCAAACGAAUUUUGGUUAUACGGGUUCUUGAUAUUGCAUAACUUUGAUACAAUUCGGCAAAAUUUG